rnacentral:tRNA from 1 species
GGAAGUGUGGCCGAGUGGUUUAAGGCAACGGUCUUGAAAACCGUCGAGUGUAACAGCUCCGUGAGUUCGAAUCUCACCGCUUCCGCCA